UCCACAGUCAGUGCAGGACUCUGUGACAAACGUUCAGCCCCUGCCAGCCCUCACCAGGGGCUCUGUGCUCUCAGCCUUUUAGGAAACGCUGCUUCCAUCACCUCAGCUGUGAACCUGCAGCCUGCCCAGCUGAGGGGAGCAGAACCGCCAGUGUCUGGGCCAGUCCCAGGAGGGUUUGGGGCAGGCAGCACAGCCCGUGGCUCUGGUGGCUGUCACCUCCCAGACCACCCAGCCCUGCUCCGGGACCGCGGCACACGGCAGCGAGGGAUCCACGGAGUCUCCAGCCCUCAGGGGAGCAGAAUUCGUCAGGUCUUUUGGGGACUGAGGGACAUCCAGAGUGUCUGAAAGCUCCCCAGCCACCAUCAGAACACCCACAGCCGCUGACAGCGCGUGUUCCGCUGACACAGGGGAGCGCAGCGCUGGAACCAAGAGACCUCGGCUCGGACGGGACGGCGCUCACCAGACCCCUCCAGGCGUCUGCACCUGGGAUUUCAUCACACGGAGGAUGCAGGUCCGGCUGGAAGAGCUGCACUCUGCCCACACGAAGGAGGUGGCCGGUGCCAGAGGGGCUGGGGCUCAAUGGGGUGUGGAAACCUCUGGAGAGCCCAGCAGGAUCAGCUGUGACCCAGCCAGGCACUCAGCUGGGCUUGUCCCUCUUCUGCUGGACUUGCUCUGGCCACAUGCAAUCAGCCCAUCACUCCAAACCUUGCCUGCAUCUGUGUGUUCCUGCCAGUGAAUAGAGGGGAAAUGAGUCUGUGAAACUUGCCCCGUCCCAAAUCCCUCGGUGCUGCUAAACCUUCCUCCCCUGCCUGCACAGACACUCCCCGGGCAGUGGUCACCCCAGCACCUCCUGCCUGGCAGAUCCCUGCAGACACUCUGCCCCUGGCAUUGCCUCUGCUCCCUCCUCCUUGUUUUCUGCCUGAAUGGAUUUGGAUUAGACAAGACCUUCCCCAAAUGCACACAAUGUCCCUGCCAGUGCACAAAUACACCAGAGAAUACCAGCUUUCCACAACAGUAUUUCUAUGAUUUGACCAGACUGGCACCAGGUUAAUUAAAAAACCCCACAAUAUUUAAAUGCAGUUUCAUCAGGAGAAGUGCAAAAUGCCUCCAUAAGAAUUUCUGCCAGGACUUUUCAAACCCCGCAAAGCACAAUUAGACACAGUCAAAUAUUGCCCUGGUUAAAGACUAUUAGUUUUCCUUACAUUUGUCAUGAAUUAAUUUUUUCCGGCUGUAUCAACAGUGUUUCCUUUAUAAAUACAACUGUCUCCUUUACAUUGAAA
rnacentral:lncRNA from 12 species